rnacentral:sRNA from 1 species
GUAUAAAAGCGCAGGGGCCAUUUUACCUCCAGGUUGGCCCUGCUCAGGACCAGGAGGAAACACCUCCAGCCCGCGACCUCCUCCCACAGGGGGAAAAGGAAAGCAGGAGGACCACAGAAGCUUUGGCACCGGGGAUCCCCGCAGUCUUCACCCGCGGAGAUUCCGGCUGAAGGAGCUGUCCAGCGACUACACCGCUAAGCGCAGGGAGCCCAAGUCUCUGCACCGGAUUCCGGAGCACAAGCUCCACUGCGCAUGCGCACACGCCCUAGACCCAGGCUCAGGAGGACUGAGAAUUUUCUGACGGCAGUGCACCAUGGGAAGCUCUGAAGUUUCCGUAAUUCCUGGGCUCCAGAAAGAAGAAAAGGCGGCCGUGGAGAGACGAAGACUUCAUGUGCUGAAAGCUCUGAAGAAGCUAAGGAUUGAGGCUGAUGAGGCCCCAGCUGUUGCUGUGCUGGGCUCAGGCGGAGGACUGCGGGCUCACAUUGCCUGCCUUGGGGUCCUGAGUGAGAUGAAAGAACAGGGCCUGUUGGAUGCUGUCACGUACCUCGCAGGGGUCUCUGGAUCCACUUGGGCAAUAUCUUCUCUCUACACCAACGACGGUGACAUGGAAGCUCUCGAGGCUGACCUGAAACAUCGAUUUACCCGACAGGAGUGGGACUUGGCUAAGAGCCUACAGAAAACCAUCCAAGCAGCGAGGUCUGAGAAUUACUCUCUGACCGACUUCUGGGCCUACAUGGUUAUCUCUAAGCAAACCAGAGAACUGCCGGAGUCUCAUUUGUCCAAUAUGAAGAAGCCCGUGGAAGAAGGGACACUACCCUACCCGAUAUUUGCAGCCAUUGACAAUGACCUGCAACCUUCCUGGCAGGAGGCAAGAGCACCAGGUAAGCAAACAUUUAGAGGGAGGGAGAGGUAGUAAGGGAUGGAACGGCACGGAGUGGAAUGGAAGAAUGUUUCCCUGCCCUUCCCUUGGGGAGCCCAGGAAGAGGGAAGGGCUCAGGAUUGCAGAAAACAGGGUGCUCAGCUUAGACGAGAGAAGAGGGAAGUCCCAGAAGUGACCAGAGGACGUGCACUUGCUUUGCAUGGAUCAAGAAAACCUUUAAGAGGCCAACAUGGUGGCUCACGCUUGUAAUGCCAGUGCUUUGGGAGGCUGAGGUGGGAGGAUCGCCUGAAACCAGAAGUUGGAGACCACCCUGGGCAACAUAGUGAGAUCCCAUCUCAAAACAACAACAUUAAAAAACAAAACAAAUCAAAAAA